CUGGCAAUGGAGUAUGGUAACAGAGUGGCAUGACAUCACUCAGUUCAGAUGUAACAAAGCCUGGGGAAGUGUUGCCAAGCAGGGCAAAUAAGCACCAAACAGAGGGGGUGUGUGGGCGGACCAGCAGUGGGUGUUACUAAAGUGUAAAACCCACCUAUUUAAUGAGAUCACGGAGGGAGAACGAAGGAAGGGCCAGCUAAGAC